GCCAGGCCCAGUGGCAUGUGCCUGUAGUCCCAGCUACUCAGGAGGCUGAGGCAAGAGGAUCACUUGAGUCCAGGAGUUCUGGGCUGUAGUGCGCUAUGCCAACUGGGUGUCCGCACUAAGUUCAGCAUCAAUAUAGUGACCUCUUGGGAACAGGGGACCACCAGGUUGCUUAAGGACAGGCCCAGGUCAGAAACAGAGCAGGUCAAAACUCCCAUGCUGAUCAGUAGUAUAAUUGCACCUAUGAAUAGUCACUACACUCCCGGCCUGGGCAACAUAGCAAGAUCCCAUCUCUA
rnacentral:SRP_RNA from 1 species